GCUUGGCUGGCUCAGUCGGUAGAGCAUGUGAUUCUUCAUGUCAGGGUGAUGAGUUCAAGCCCCAUGUUGGGCA
rnacentral:tRNA from 1 species